rnacentral:ncRNA from 3 species
UCAGUGCACUACAGAACUUUCU